AGAGUUGAUUAUGGCUCAGGAUGAACGCUAGCGACAGGCUUAACACAUGCAAGUCGAGGGGCAGCAUAAAAGUAGCAAUACUUGGUGGCGACCGGCGCACGGGUGAGUAACGCGUAUGCAACCUACCUAUCGAGAGGGGAAUAACCCGGCGAAAGUCGGACUAAUACCGCAUAAAACAGGGGCACCGCAUGGUGAUAUUUGUUAAAGAAAUUCGCUGAUAGAUGGGCAUGCGUUCCAUUAGGUAGUUGGUGAGGUAACGGCUCACCAAGCCGACGAUGGAUAGGGGAACUGAGAGGUUGGUCCCCCACACUGGUACUGAGACACGGACCAGACUCCUACGGGAGGCAGCAGUGAGGAAUAUUGGUCAAUGGGCGGGAGCCUGAACCAGCCAAGUCGCGUGAAGGAAGAAGGAUCUAUGGUUCGUAAACUUCUUUUGCAGGGGAAUAAAGUGCAGGACGUGUCCUGUUUUGUAUGUACCCUGAGAAUAAGGAUCGGCUAACUCCGUGCCAGCAGCCGC
rnacentral:rRNA from 1 species